CGGUGGCGGCGCGGCGACGAGAAUCGUAAAUCGGUUUUCGCCGUAACUUCCCCGCGAAUUCGGUGGCAAUGUCCUCCGGGACCCCCAACGGUUUAAUUGUGUGCAUCAAGAACCGGAAAACAGCAAUAUUUUAAGAGGAUAGAACGUCUCGAACGGGGCCGUGCAGCAGCUACGUAUAAUACACCCCGCUCUGCGCACACCGACCACCACCCCGUUCACUACCUCUGAAAAAUCAAAGUAGUAUUGAAUGUUUUCGAGGUUCUGGUUGCGUUCCAAAAUAUUAUUCACCGUUCGUUUUUACAGUCCCU